rnacentral:miRNA from 1 species
AUCCUUCCGGUCAAUAAGAAACAACAAUACCAUCGACCGGAAGGAAUCCCUUCCGGUCGAUGGGGCGGUUACACCUCAUCGACCGGAAGGAAUUCCUUCUGGUCGAUGGUGUCGUUGUAUCUCAUUGGCCGGAAGGAU